GACGAACGCUGGCGGCAGGCCUAACACAUGCAAGUCGAGCGGCAGCGCGUCCGACCACCCUCGGGUGGUCGGAUGGCGGCGAGCGGCGGACGGGUGAGGAAUGCAUCGGAAUCUGCCUCGUUGUGGGGGAUAACGUAGGGAAACUUAUGCUAAUACCGCAUACGACCUACGGGUGAAAGUGGGGGACCUUCGGGCCUCACGCGAUGAGAUGAGCCUGCGUAGGAUUAGCUUGUUGGUGAGGUAAAGGCUCACCAAGGCGACGAUCCUUAGCUGGUCUGAGAGGAUGAUCAGCCACACUGGAACUGAGACACGGUCCAGACUCCUACGGGAGGCAGCAGUGGGGAAUAUUGCGCAAUGGGCGAAAGCCUGACGCAGCCAUGCCGCGUGUGUGAAGAAGGCCCUUGGGUUGUAAAGCACUUUCAAUUGGAGAAAGGUUGCGUGUUAAUAGCACGUAGCUGUGACGUUACCUUUAGAAGAAGCACCGGCUAAC
rnacentral:rRNA from 1 species